UACAACAAAAACAAAUUAUGGGCUCUCUCUAUCUCUAUCUCAACCUCAUAGACUCAUAGUACUGUUGUACCUUUCUCUGUUCUCCUCUCUCGUUUACAGAGGUUUGCAAAGACUAAAGAGUGAAGAGAGGUCCCGAGAUCAGCAAAGGAGUGAAGGAAACGGAGGCAUUGUUGACGGAGAGAUCAGCUGCGCUGAGAACGAUGAAACGAGUAUCGGCAACUAUGUCGAGCUACAUGGCAACAGUUCCGGCGAAGGUGCAGGCGAUGAGAUCGGGAUUGAGGCGGAGAUCGUAGCGCUUGGGGACGGCGAACUUUGGUAGACGAGGUUUACCUUUGAACUGAUCCAUUUUCGCUCAUGUGAUUACUUGUAGAUUGCACCAUAGCUUCAAGUUCUUAGUGAUUUGUUACCAUCAUAGCUUCAAGUUCUCAAUAAACAGAGUCUCUGGUUGACCAAAUCAAACACAUCACAAUCAUGAAUCACACUUAUUGAUACAUAUUCAUUCUCACACAUAUCUGAAUCUUUAUUUUCCUGUAGCAGCAACAUGUCUCUGUCACUAAUUGAGUGAAUUACAUAGAUCAGUUUGUAUUUGUGGUUUUAAUUUAAAGCUGGAUUCAUCUUAUUAUGAACUUCAGGCUUCAGCAAGUCUUUCGACAUGUGGGCCUUGGAGCUGUUGUUGGAGCUGUAUCUCGUAACCUUCAUGAGCUUCAAAAUAAUAAGGAAGAUGGGAGAUAUCACUUCAUGUCUCUGUUGCUGAAUUUGGUUUACACAUUUCUUUAUAUGGUCAAUACAUAUAUCAUUGUCCCUACAGCAGAUGACUAUUCCAUGAGCCUCGGUGCAGCAGCAACGGUGUGCGGUGUUGUAAUUGGUGCUAUGGCAGUGAACCGGAGAUAUAUAAGUGACGCUUAAGUAUAAAAACUAACAUUUACACAAUCUUUUUUAAUAUAUAUAGGCUCAUCCAACUAAAACACAUUUGCGUGACAUCACCACCGCUAGCUUACUGUGAGGUUUUUAAUAAUGGAUCGUAUUGCUCAAGAAAGUGAAGAGAUACAAGCAAGAAGAAACAGAAAACCAACCCCUAUACGUAUUUUUAUUACUGUUUAAAUACGUAUUGUAUAUGGUAUUAACAAAAGACAACCAUAAUUGUUAAGAAAAAAUAGUUUGUGAUAUGAUACCAACCCCUAUACGUAUGAAAAUUAUUUUUCUAAU